rnacentral:misc_RNA from 1 species
UGUGUUUAUGAAUAGUUUGAUGUUAGACUUAAUAAAUUGCAAGCAUUUGAAUUGUUCAAAAUUAGGAAUGUCUAUGGCUACUGUCUUUAUGCUGAUUUAACAAUUUAAGAAUCAAAACCAAUUAUAAGGGCACAAGAUUUUGAUUAAUUUAGUCCACAGGAAUCUACCAUUUGAUUUAUUAUAUUUGACCUUGGUUUUAGUUCAUUGUUUGUGUUAAACUUGGUUUUGUGAGUCAUUGUUCAUUGUUUGUUUUUAGUUCAUUGGUUUUAGUUCACUCCUUAGCUUUCUUCCAAGUGAUGGCCCUGAAAUGGUUUAUGUAAUGCAUCAAGUAUAUAGGCCUACAAAUCUGUCAAGGCAAGCUUCGACCAGUGAAGAUUUGGCUUGUUUAUGGAAAGAGUUUAACUUUAGGCUCAGGCUUGGCAAAAUUAUUAAACAAGCCAAUCACUACCUCCUUCUUAUAAACAAACCAAAACUGAGCCAAAGUCUUUCUUAAUAAAUUGAAGUUACAAAUGAAAUUCAACUCAACUCAACUCAAC